CAAUAGCGUAUAUUAAAGUUGUUGCAGUUAAAAAGCUCGUAGUUGAACUUGUGCGUGCCCCUGAUGUCCUUUUUGGUACGUUUGGGGGUGUGCAUCCUUGGGUGGAAUCUGUGUGGCAUUAGGUUGUCGUGCAGGGGAUGCUCAUCGUUUACUGUGAAAAAAUUAGAGUGUUCAAAGCAGGCUUAUGCCGUUGAAUAUAUCAGCAUGGAAUAAUAAGAUAGGACCUCGGUACUAUUUUGUUGGUUUGCGCACUGAGGUAAUGAUUAACAGGGACAGUUGGGGGUAUUCGUAUUCCAUUGUCAGAGGUGAAAUUCUUGGAUUUCUGGAAGACGAACUACUGCGAAAGCAUUUACCAAGGAUGUUUUCAUUAA
rnacentral:rRNA from 1 species